AGAAAUUGUGAUGUCAUCAUGACAUCACCUCAGGUUGUUAACUUGUUGAAUGCCUUGUACACGCUGUUCAACGCCAUCAUUUCCAACUAUGACGUCUAAAAGGUUGAAAGUAUCGACGAUGCCUACAUGUUGGUCUCCUGCCUACUGAUCCGUAAUGGCAGCCGUCAUGCUGGUAUGAUCGCCUCCGCUGCAUGGCAUCUCCUGCAGGGCGUUAAUAGUUGAUCAUGCCACACAAACAAGAUGAGAAACUCAAACUCCUCAUCGGUAUUCACUCAGGGCAAAGGUGAAAGCCUGACGUACUGGCUCGAGGGACAUGAUCCAAGCUACAAGAUCGACCAAAUCAAGCCACCCAAACAAAACUUGUUAACAACCAGAAUAUUAUCCCAACAUUAUCUGCAACGCAUUUGGAUCAGCAAUUUUUUGUAAAGAGGUGAUGGCAGAUCUACCAGCUCACUUCACAUCAGAGAGCUCUCUUGAGAAGCACUAUAGAAGCACUAUAAGGCCCAGGAGAAGGACUGCUUCUCACGGCUAGAACAGACUCAGACCAGAGCUCUCUUGAGAAGCACUGUAGGGCUCAGGAGGAGGACCGCAUCAAGUACA
rnacentral:lncRNA from 1 species